rnacentral:rRNA from 1 species
CCUACGGGGGGCUGCAGUCGAGAAUCAUUCACAAUGGGGGAAACCCUGAUGGUGCGACGCCGCGUGGGGGAAUGAAGGUCUUCGGAUUGUAAACCCCUGUCAUGUGGGAGCAAAUUAAAAAGAUCGUACCCCAAGAGGAAGAGACGGCUAACUCUGUGCCAGCAGCCGCGGUAAUACAGAGGUCUCAAGCGUUGUUCGGAAUCACUGGGCGUAAAGCGUGCGUAGGCUGUUUCGUAAGUCGUGUGUGAAAGGCGCGGGCUCAACCCGCGGACGGCACAUGAUACUGCGAGACUAGAGUAAUGGAGGGGGAACCGGAAUUCUCGGUGUAGCAGUGAAAUGCGUAGAUAUCGAGAGGAACACUCGUGGCGAAGGCGGGUUCCUGGACAUUAACUGACGCUGAGGCACGAAGGCCAGGGGAGCGAAAGGGAUUAGAUACCCCAGUAGUC